GUAUUAAUGGAUUGAGUUUUUUGGGAUGGCGCUGAAACGCCAGUUUGUAUCCGUUGAACGUUCGCAUUGUUAACGAUUUGGUUAACCGUAAAUUGCGUCCCUUGUGCCGUAGAGGUAAGUAUUUGUGACUUUUGAAUGGUUUGUAUCCUCGAUACCGAAUUACGCUGUACCACAGUAGGAUUACUAAGGUUCGCUACCGCUUUGACUUUUUGCAAAUUGACUGUUUGAGGCUGCCCACUGAUAUUUUGCGUCUUCACCUGUAUCCUUUGUAUAUUGGGGAUGUUCGUAGCUGUGGUAAUUGUUUUUACGGUGGCAGUAUUAAGAAUUUGUUGAGGCGAGAUCUGCUGAAAUUUUGGAUGCAUACUCGUCGUUUGCAAACUUGCGACCGUUGUAGCUUGUUGGUGUUUCUUAGGAAUUGCAUCGUUUACGGAGGUUUGAGUUUUAGCUUGUUGGCUGUUCUGGGAACAUGUAGCUGCCUGUAAAGGAUAGACAUGUGCGACACUACUGCUUGGCGAGGGUAAAGAUUGCGAAUUAACUGGUAAAUGAGCGACGUUUGAGGAAGCAUUUAACGUUAAGGGCUGCGUUUGAUAAGCGGUGCUCGGCAAUUUUUGAGAUAUCACGCGAGUUGUCAAAACUUGCGUGGUAUUUGUUUGAGAACUCGUAAUCCUCUGUGCUAUUUCUUUACUAGAUUUCGUAACCGGAUAAGAAACGCUGACUGAUUUUACAUUGGAGAGCGAUAUGGAAUGGCUUACUGCUAUCUCGGGUACGUUCGUCACUUCGAGACACUGGAGUACUUGGGGAUUGUUAUUAUCGCUAUUGUCGUCGCUCAUCGCGACUAAGGUAUUGGCCGUGGUAACGCCGAUCGUUAAUGGUGCAGUCAGUUCUUGAGCACCGAUUAGCAUUGACGACGAGGCGCUGCCGUUUUUAGUUUUCUCGGUUGACGUUUCAACCGUACCCAAUUGUAAAACAAAACUCAUGGUGGCUUCUGUACCCCGUUCAAAGGCAUCGACGUCUUUCUUUCUAUUAUCAUCAUUUUCAUUGAAUUCGUUACGUUGUUCACUCGUCGGAGAUACCGGGGGAUGUGGCCCGUGUUCUGGGGAUAGUUGCUCCCCACUCCCACUUGUGCCACCCCCGGAUAACUUGAUCACCGAUGGGGUCGACGUUUUGAAGGCCUUUCGAUGACGUUCAAUGAAAACUGGAAGGAAUGCAGAUCGGAGGGCUAUCUCUUUUUAACAACCUUACGGAACACGUGUCUGUAUCGUUCGACAAAAGAAACGUUCCUGAAAACGUACUUUAUAAAUGCAUAUCUAUAUAACAUAUGUAUAUCCAUAUAACAAGAAUACAGCUUUACAAAGUACAAACUCCUUUAGGGACCCUUAGGUUGCUACAGAAACGCAUACAGGUCUCACACAAAGAAGUUUAAUAAUUCAACAAGAAAGUCGCGACGUUGGAGCACACAUUUGAGCUUAUCGAUCGAGAAAAGAUGCUUUUUCCUCGAAGAAAAUGCACGUAGCGGUAAAUAAACAUGAGAUAUUCGAUAAGAGUGUUUCGAACGAAAGAAGUAAAAAAUAAAAAAUUAGUAUAGCAAUAGUAUAGCAUGUAUAAUGUUAAUAAAAGGCAACGUUAUGUUUGAUUA